AACAAGUCGGCUUGUGAGACAACUGCAACGAAGCCAACGCGGGUCAAUUAAGUUUUGUGCAGAGCAGAGCAUUUGAGCUACGCGAGGAUCCUUUGUGCACAUUGGCAGGACAUCGAGAAGAAAUUAUGACGUCAUCGAAUUUUUCAAAAGAACAGCUCUUAUGUUCAGGGCACGCCUGCCAGAACUGCAAGCUGAAAGUGGACUAUCGCAUGGAGGAACUUAGGAGUUGAAGAAGACGAGGAAGGAUAACAGCUAGCUCUUGCUUGAGCAAAGAUGGGUUCUUGUAGCUUAAGGCACUGUAGCAGCGCGACAAUCGCGUACAGCCAGCCUCGGCUAAAGAAGAUUAUCAUGUGGACCUAGCUGGAGUACAGAACACUCACAGUCUCGGCUGGGUGAAAGCCGCCUGGCCGAGAUUGAGAGGUGGAAGCCACGGCUCCUCUUCGGUUUCUGCGUCUCAGUAGAGUGGAGACAAUGGCACAGCCGCGUCGACUGCCAUCAUGUCUCUGUCACUGCAGGCACAGUUCCUUGUUUCAUGUCUGAAACUUCGAAAUCGCCCUUAAGCAAGCACCAUUAAUUGAUGGAGCAUUCUCAAAAGGUUCAUGAAAGUUUCAGAGCCAACAUCUCUUGAAAUACUAUGCUCCCCGCCAAACUGCCCCAGAAACCCGAUUUCAGCGCACAUGAAGUCACCUGAUAUGUCUUCUUUUCGACAUGCAAGGAAACUAGGCUGUGCCAGCCAGAUGGAGAUCCUCGCUGCUACCAGACAGCCAACUCAACGACACUGUGGUCUACAGGGAGGAGAUCGUGAAUGUUGUCUCACAUGCCCUAUUUUUCCUGAAGCAAGAUCAACGGCCUUACAAUGGAUAGGCCAACAACUAUGCAAAGUAGCAGCAGGCAGGCUUCUACAUCACAAGGCCAGCUGCAGGAAGAAGAUUUUGUCUUGGUUUCACUACUCAGGAAUUGAACAUUUGAGAAUGCCAGAAAUUACGCAGUGAAAACUCUGGGUCCACCUUUCCUUACAUGCUGAAGCAUGGUGCAUCUGAUGAGAACCUUUCCAACUUGCCAUCAAAAGAGACACUGCAUGAUGCAUUCUAAAGGAUGAACAUGACUGUGCUGAUGCUGAUGUCACAUGGCCACAUUAGAUAGUGAUCGGACCUGACAUGGAUCGAA
rnacentral:lncRNA from 1 species